rnacentral:rRNA from 1 species
UACGAAGGGGGCUAGCGUUGCUCGGAAUUACUGGGCGUAAAGCGCACGUAGGCGGUUUCUUAAGUCGGGGGUGAAAUCCUGGAGCUCAACUCCAGAACUGCCUUCGAUACUGGGAAACUUGAGUCCGGGAGAGGUGAGUGGAACUGCGAGUGUAGAGGUGAAAUUCGUAGAUAUUCGCAAGAACACCAGUGGCGAAGGCGGCUCACUGGCCCGAUACUGACGCUGAGGCACGAAAGCGUGGGGAGCGAACAGG